GCCCAUGUAGCUCAGUUGGUAGAGCGCAUCCUUGGUAAGGAUGAGGUCAGCGGUUCAAAUCCGCUCAUGGGCUCCA
rnacentral:tRNA from 3 species